UUUUUAUGAUGCAGUCAUGUGCAUUUUUUAAGACUAAGAAUUAGACACCUUUGUGCUUGAAGUUAGGCAUGACCGUGACUCAUUCAGCUGUCACUCUAACAGACUUGGUGUGAGAACCAUAUGGAUGGGAAGAAGUAACCUAGACUCAAGAUGCAAGUUCACGGAUUGCGAGACGGGAGGCCAAACACUGAAACAGCAUCUGACAAAAGUGCUUUUUCAGCAGGAAGGGGCAAUCCGACAUCUUGUCUGAGAACAACCUGACUGGCCCUUGCUGGAUACUGGUUUGUAGAAGGCACUGAUGGAUGCUUCCCCCUGUGAAAGGAGGACCUCCCAUCAAUAACUUCUGGUCAGCAACUUCCAUGCCACACGGGCUCAUCUCAAAGGCUUAUGCCAUGAAGAGAAGAAGCACCACCAGUUUUGCAGAGUAUGAUCCUGGCAGGUGGAGAGAUGAAAGGCCUUUGCAGGCAAUGAUCUACAGAGCAAAAGCAGAUCAUUAACCUCAUGAAUGAGGUUCUGCUUUUUAAACAGUGACCUCAAGAGAAGCUCUGCAGGAUGAAAGGGUUAUUAUGUGACUGGACACCUUGAGUCACCUGGGGUAAAUUACUACAUUCUCUCAGUUAUUAAGUUAAGCCCCUGUGUUCUGGUGAAAUCAGUGGAGCUUGUUUUCACUGGUGUAGUAUCUGAGCCAUCAAGUUUAAUGAAUCGUUACAAAUAAUUUAAUCUGCACUUGCAGGUGCUAUUAAAACAUUUUUUUUUUACCAAGAGAUUUUUUUUUUUUUACCUAGGAAGAGCAAUCUCUCUGAGUCACAAUAGUUUAAAUAUGGAAAAGUGGG
rnacentral:lncRNA from 1 species